rnacentral:rRNA from 1 species
UACGGAGGGGGCAAGCGUUGUUCGGAAUUACUGGGCGUAAAGGGCGCGUAGGCGGCCUUCUAAGUCGGACGUGAAAUCCCUGGGCUCAACCCAGGAACUGCGUCCGAUACUGGUUGGCUUGAAUCCGGGAGAGGGAUGUGGAAUUCCAGGUGUAGCGGUGAAAUGCGUAGAUAUCUGGAGGAACACCGGUGGCGAAGGCGACAUCCUGGACCGGUAUUGACGCUGAGGCGCGAAAGCCAGGGGAGCAAACGGG